ACCCACACCCAGCCAGCUCUGCAAGCCACCCCGUCCUCCCUUCGUCUCGGACGGUGUAUCCAUCCCGCAGCCAGCGGAGCGGGUCCAAACAAGCAGCCCUCCGCCGCCGCCGCCUCCUCCUCCACCACACCACCUGAUUCGAUCCGGGCCGCGGUCCCGGCCGGGCGCGGCGGCGGGACGGAUGCGUGCGCCCACCGGGAUGCUUGAUUGGUUUCGUCCCCAUGCCAAUCCCAUUCCCAUUGCCAUUGCCAUGUGGUCACUGCCCGGGUUUUGUGCGGGUCCGGGAGCUAUUGAUGACGAAGCUUCGGCAAUGAUCGCGAGUUCAUUCAUGGCGCCGGUGGUUAAGGUCGUUCCUGCAGAUCUGCACCCACGUCCACGCAUCAGAUCUUCUCCUCCCCCCGCUCGUCGUUUAGCUACGUUGCAUUUAUUAAUUCCUCUUCUUGCUCUUCGUUGAUCAAGCCGCGCCGCGUGCGUACUCGGUGGCAAUGGGACCGUGCGCAUUGCACAAGCUAAUCCAAAACCAACUCAUUGCUCUGCACAUUUGAACAGUACAUAUCGAGUCUAGAUUAAGAUAAAUUCUCGUCAAAGUAAAAACUGCCGAUCGAGCUAAUUGAAGUUCUUGAAAAAAAAAAGAACAACCACAUCAAAUAAAAAAAGCGAAGGAAGUAUAGCCGGUUAAAUCUAAACUUCUUCCUUGCUAAAAAACAUGUGUCUAUUUGUAUGUUUAACAAUAUAAAAUUGGAUAUUUUAUCCGUUUAUGUUUUUCUUAUGGACAGAAGAGAUUAAAAGAAAGAGGACUCCGAAACGAAUGACGGUAAUUUGAUCGAUUUGCAUAUGGUGUGAGGCAAUAAAAGAAUGCAAGAUACGAAUAGAGUGUUGUUUUAGGAAUUGCUUGAAAAACGGAUGCUAUUUUCUGAAUGUCGUCUUAAACCAGUGUUGUUUCGUAGAUUCUCCAUGUGGUUUGGUGCAAUGUUAUUCUCAAUAAGUGACGUCUUCUAUGGCAUAUUCAUGUUUAGGCUUUCCUUUUCUGAUGUGUUAAGUUGUGUUCCGAAUAAAAUAGAGUUUUUGUCUUGUCCUUCUUGUCCUUUGGAUGGUUGAGUGCCAUGGUCUUCUUUUUUGUCGUUCUCCUUGUUUUACUCAUCCAUUUAUACACUGUAUGUGUCUUCUGUGAUCACGUCACCCAAUACUUAGGUAGGAUCUAUACACCUUUUGAUUUGCCUCUCAUAAUGACAAUGGCUGUAGUAUUAAAUCUUGGAAACAAACGUCUAAAAAACCAACGAGAGAAAUCCUCGUCAUCCACCUCGUGACCCAAAUUACUUUGUUCAAUCACAAUGACAUGAAGCCUAUGAAACAUUUCUCUAUGUAGAAGAAAUAGACAUUUCUAAAUAGUAUCUAGACAUGCAUCUAGGACCAUGGAUUAGAAAACCCGUGAAAACCAGUCCAGUUUCCCAUUACUGGAUCAGUAACUGUUUUCCAACCAUUUUUACAUGAAACCUGUUAAAAAACAGCAGAAAUCGAC
rnacentral:lncRNA from 1 species